GACGAACGCUGGCGGCGUGCUUAACACAUGCAAGUCGAACGGAAAGGCCCUGCUUUCGUGGGGUGCUCGAGUGGCGAACGGGUGAGUAACACGUGAGUAACCUGCCCUUGACUUUGGGAUAACUUCAGGCAACUGGGGCUAAUACCGGAUAGGAGCUCCUGCUGCAUGGUGGGGGUUGGAAAGUUUCGGCGGUUGGGGAUGGACUCUCGGCUUAUCAGCUUGUUGGUGGGGGAUUGGCAUACCAAGGCUUUGGUGGGUAGCCCGCCUGAGAGGGUGGCCGGCCACAAGAGGACUAAGAUACGGCCCAGACUCCUACGGUAGGCAGCAGGCGAGAACAUGACACAGUGAGCGGAAGUCUGAGGCAACGACGCCGCGAGCGUGAUGACGGCCUUCGUGUGAGGAACCGCUGUCGCCUGAGACGAAGCGGGAUUGACGUUAAUAGGAAAAGAAGCACCGGCUAACUACGUG
rnacentral:rRNA from 1 species